rnacentral:rRNA from 1 species
UACGUAGGGUGCGAGCGUUAAUCGGAAUUACUGGGCGUAAAGCGUGCGCAGGCGGCUUUGCAAGACAGAUGUGAAAUCCCCGGGCUCAACCUGGGAACUGCAUUUGUGACUGCAAGGCUAGAGUACGGCAGAGGGGGAUGGAAUUCCGCGUGUAGCAGUGAAAUGCGUAGAUAUGCGGAGGAACACCAAUGGCGAAGGCAAUCCCCUGGGCCUGUACUGACGCUCAUGCACGAAAGCGUGGGGAGCAAACAGGAUUAGAUACCCUGGUAGUCCACGCCCUAAACGAUGUCAACUGGUUGUUGGACGGCUUGCUGUUCAGUAACGAAGCUAACGCGUGAAGUUGACCGCCUGGGGAGUACGGCCGCAAGGUUGAAACCCAAAGGAAUUGACGGGGACCCGCACAAGCGGUGGAUGAUGUGGUUUAAUUCGAUGCAACGCGAAAAACCUUACCUACCCUUGACAUGUCAAGAAUUCUGCAGAGAUGUGGAAGUGCUCGAAAGAGAACUUGAACACAGGUGCUGCAUGGCCGUCGUCAGCUCGUGUCGUGAGAUGUUGGGUUAAGUCCCGCAACGAGCGCAACCCUUGUCAUUAGUUGCUACGCAAGAGCACUCUAAUGAGACUGCCGGUGACAAACCGGAGGAAGGUGGGGAUGACGUCAGGUCCUCAUGGCCCUUAGGGGUAGGGCUACACACGUCAUACAAUGGCCGGUACAGAGGGCUGCCAACCCGCGAGGGGGAGCCAAUCCCAGAAAACCGGUCGUAGUCCGGAUCGUAGUCUGCAACUCGACUGCGUGAAGUCGGAAUCGCUAGUAAUCGCGGAUCAGCUUGCCGCGGUGAAUACGUUCCCGGGUCU